rnacentral:rRNA from 1 species
UACGUAGGGUGCAAGCGUUGUCCGGAAUUAUUGGGCGUAAAGAGCUCGUAGGCGGCUUGUCACGUCUGCUGUGAAAACUUGGGGCUCAACUCCAAGCCUGCAGUGGAUACGGGCAGACUAGAGUAUGGCAGGGGAGACUGGAAUUCCUGGUGUAGCGGUGAAACGCGCAGAUAUCAGGAGGAACACCGGUGGCGAAGGCGGGUCUCUGGGCCAAAACUGACGCUGAGGAGCGAAAGCGUGGGGAGCGAACAGG